UUGAAGAGUUUGAUCAUGGCUCAGAUUGAACGCUGGCGGCAGGCCUAACACAUGCAAGUCGAGCGGAAACGAGUUAUCUGAACCUUCGGGGAACGAUAACGGCGUCGAGCGGCGGACGGGUGAGUAAUGCCUAGGAAAUUGCCCUGAUGUGGGGGAUAACCAUUGGAAACGAUGGCUAAUACCGCAUAAUGCCUACGGGCCAAAGAGGGGGACCUUCGGGCCUCUCGCGUCAGGAUAUGCCUAGGUGGGAUUAGCUAGUUGGUGAGGUAAUGGCUCACCAAGGCGACGAUCCCUAGCUGGUCUGAGAGGAUGAUCAGCCACACUGGAACUGAGACACGGUCCAGACUCCUACGGGAGGCAGCAGUGGGGAAUAUUGCACAAUGGGCGCAAGCCUGAUGCAGCCAUGCCGCGUGUGUGAAGAAGGCCUUCGGGUUGUAAAGCACUUUCAGUCGUGAGGAAGGUAGUGUAGUUAAUAGCUGCAUUAUUUGACGUUAGCGACAGAAGAAGCACCGGCUAACUCCGUGCCAGCAGCCGCGGUAAUACGGAGGGUGCGAGCGUUAAUCGGAAUUACUGGGCGUAAAGCGCAUGCAGGUGGUUUGUUAAGUCAGAUGUGAAAGCCCGGGGCUCAACCUCGGAAUAGCAUUUGAAACUGGCAGACUAGAGUACUGUAGAGGGGGGUAGAAUUUCAGGUGUAGCGGUGAAAUGCGUAGAGAUCUGAAGGAAUACCGGUGGCGAAGGCGGCCCCCUGGACAGAUACUGACACUCAGAUGCGAAAGCGUGGGGAGCAAACAGGAUUAGAUACCCUGGUAGUCCACGCCGUAAACGAUGUCUACUUGGAGGUUGUGGCCUUGAGCCGUGGCUUUCGGAGCUAACGCGUUAAGUAGACCGCCUGGGGAGUACGGUCGCAAGAUUAAAACUCAAAUGAAUUGACGGGGGCCCGCACAAGCGGUGGAGCAUGUGGUUUAAUUCGAUGCAACGCGAAGAACCUUACCUACUCUUGACAUCCAGAGAACUUUCCAGAGAUGGAUUGGUGCCUUCGGGAACUCUGAGACAGGUGCUGCAUGGCUGUCGUCAGCUCGUGUUGUGAAAUGUUGGGUUAAGUCCCGCAACGAGCGCAACCCUUAUCCUUGUUUGCCAGCGAGUAAUGUCGGGAACUCCAGGGAGACUGCCGGUGAUAAACCGGAGGAAGGUGGGGACGACGUCAAGUCAUCAUGGCCCUUACGAGUAGGGCUACACACGUGCUACAAUGGCGCAUACAGAGGGCAGCAAGCUAGCGAUAGUGAGCGAAUCCCAAAAAGUGCGUCGUAGUCCGGAUUGGAGUCUGCAACUCGACUCCAUGAAGUCGGAAUCGCUAGUAAUCGUGGAUCAGAAUGCCACGGUGAAUACGUUCCCGGGCCUUGUACACACCGCCCGUCACACCAUGGGAGUGGGCUGCAAAAGAAGUAGGUAGUUUAACCUUCGGGAGGACGCUUACCACUUUGUGGUUCAUGACUGGGGUGAAGUCGUAACAAGGUAGCGCUAGGGGAACCUGGAGCUGGAUCACCUCCUU
rnacentral:rRNA from 1 species